CAGAGAGACACACACACAUGCACACACACACAGAGAGAGACACACAAACACACACACACACACACACACCUACCGCUGCUGGUAGUUACCGUGGCUGGUAGUUGGGUGUGAGAGAGAUUUCAUGUCUCUCAGCUACAUUGCUAGUUUUAAUAAUGGAAGACGUCUGUAUUAUAGAUCGUCUAUUUUACAGGUUUUAGUUUGUUACAGUGAAGCGAACGAGACUUUUAAAUGCUCCGAACUUUAGAAAUAUUGAACAUAGAAGUCCUCCGAGGUGAAACGGGUUCCUCAGCUUUAAAGAAUAGUUUCCUAAAUCUCACAAACUGCUCUGACAUCACUCUGGUCUGACAUCACUCUGGUCUGACAUCACUCUGGUCUGACAUCACUCUGGUCUGACAUCACUCUGGUCUGACAUCACUCUGGUCUGACAUCACUCUGGUCUGACAUCACUCUGGUCUGACAUCACUCUGGUCUGCACACACCCAGUCACUGAGGAGUCCUCCACCACGUUCAGAUGUCACAACAUAUCACUGAUGGGGUACAAAGCUGUCACCUGUGUGUGUGUGUGUGUGUGUGUGUGUGUGUGUGUGUGUGUGUGUGUGUGUGUGUGUGUGUGUGCGCGCGUGUGCGUGUGUGUGCAUGUUACAUUUCAUUAUCUCACUUUAUUUCUUUCCAUCCGAGCACUCUAUGAGAUUCUAUGAGUUAUUAUUUCUGUACAGUCGAGUUAUUGUUUUGAACUUUGAGGUGUUUUGGGGUUCUUCUACUGAUUUGGGGUCAGUUUGUGUUAACUUAAAGAACAAGGUGAACGUUUCACAGAAAGACUUAAUGAAAUAUUGAAUGUGUUCCAUCUUUAAUCAAUAAAGUUUUUAAUAAAGAACGACA